UUUUAAACGUACGUGCCGCGCAAGUAAAUUACGAAACGAAUCGGUCUUUAUUUGUUUCUGUUCGAAUUUUACAAGCAAUAAACAGCUCUCGUAGAAGCAACUCUGUCGACCGCACAGAAAUUUAAUGCAACUGACCGAGCAAGCGCUGGAUCGGAAAUGGUGAACGUGGCUCCCUGUGGAUUUGCCGCGUGUUUACAGAGCUACCGCACAUUUAAUGGUCCUGACGACAAUUUUUCAAUCAUCCAGGAACAGCUUCCGAUAUGGGUUUUAUGAUGUGGAUGAUUAAUGCCAAAGAUGUUAUCAGCAGAUUCUUACGAUUCAUUUGGCGGAUAUUGCUCGAAGCAUGAUAAGCGAAGAGAAGAUAUUUCGAUCACCAUUUUUUUUAUUUAACGCGGCAAGUCGAAGGAACAUGAAUGCCUCGUGUCAAAAGGUGAAGGCGAACGAAAUGGAUUUUCCGUUUUUAUGACGUUGUGAGAAAACGAUCUUUCAGUUGAUUAUUGUACCGAAGUCAAUUGACCUUACUUCGCCACUACCUAUCACUUUACUCGAGGUUCGAGGGUCGAAAAAUCGCGAUUAGAAAAACAAUUGCCUAUUUAUGUUUGAUAUUUAUUCAUGCCUUCGUUGGAGAAUCGAGUCUCGUAAGGAUAGACAUCUGGAUAGACAACAUUAAUUGACGAUUAAUAAUCGAGUCAGGCGUGCAAUAAAAUGAAGGACAAAUAAGAAGAAAGAAAGAAAGUAAGGUGUAUUUCGUUGGAAAGUAGUUGCACCAGGAAUGCGAGCUGGAAUGAUUUACGAUUCUUUGCAAGUCAUAAAAACAUCAGCUAUAAGGGAUGGAAAGUUUUUUGCGAAGAUUUGAAAGAAAAUUUACGAUGUGCUCUCAGGUUUCGAUAUAGUGGAACAGUACCUUUAAUUACGAGGCUUCGUUUCGAAAUGAAAUUUGUAUCCUUGUGGAAAAGAAUUCGAUAUCUUAAUAACUCGUAACACUUGAGAAAUUAUUAGGUUUCUCCGUAAAAAUAAAAUAUACAAAAUCUAUUUACUCGUUUCGUGUAAAUAAGUGAGUGACCUCGAGACAAUUUGUACGAAAUUUCAUUUUAAUUGUGCUGAUUAAUUACACGUACGAUUCCGAAGAAUUAAUUUCUAUAAUGAUUGUCCAAAUUUGAUUGAAUGAAGUUACAUUUGGUCUUACGGAUCGCAGAAUCUAUAAAUGAUCUGUCUACGUUAAAUUAUCAAAAAAACUAUAUAAUUUUCGAUUAAUUGAGGGGUAUUUCUUUUGGGAAAGAAAUAGUCGAUCACAGCAUGCAAUUUGUAACUGAUUCAAAGUACUCGAUAUUGAUGAACAAAUUAUGAUUAACGUCGUGAAAAAAGAGAUAGUUAAAAGUUUAAAAAAUGAACAAUAAGAAAAGUACUCACCUUCUUACGAUGCGGACAGCAAGAAGAUCCAUUGCCCAUGGUUCGAUCCUUCAAACAGCGAAAGAAUCAACCUUCACACUAAUUCAUAACACUUCAACAUAAUUCUAAAAUUUUCUUUGCACAAUCAUCAAUUUUCUUUCUUUCUUCAUGGCUGUUGAGAAAAUUGCAGGUUUAUUAUCGCGUUGGUAUUCGAGCCAACCAUUUUAUCAAUAGUCGCUUUUGUUAACAAUCUUCUGAAUCUCGAGAUCACCUUCUCGUAAGUUUUAUAUCUGAUCUGACGAAAAAGGUAAUCAAAGAAUAUAUCAUACAAUUUUCCUCUUGCAAACUUAUUUCUUCAUUUCUCAUUUUCUUUUAUAGGUUUCUUUAAAUUUUCCUCAUACUGAUGAUCAAUAGGAUCAACGUGAAGUCUUGAGUAGAUGAAGUAAAGAAACGAGCGGAGAAAAGAGCAGUGGCAAGUGGCAGUACGGUGAAAUGACCGCAAGAAAUCGAAGAAGCCUUAGUAAUUCAGAGAAAUGGAUGAGCUGACAGUAAUGUUCCGAUAAUAUGGAUUACUGUGUCAACUGUGCAGCUCGUGGAAGUAUAGAGUUUCGUCGCGCAACAUCUUCCUGGAUGUGAAAUUAAUUAACCGUCGAACAGUCAAAUAUCCGAAGAAAGCAAUUCGAUAAAGUCAGUGAUUCCUUCGCUCGAGAUCGACGAUUCCUCCCUUCAGGAAGAUCAAUUAGAACUCCAGAAACGGAGAAGUUCGUUUCGAAUCGAAUUGGUCACCGUUUAACUUUUGUUUUUUCGAUUUUUUUUCUUUUGUUUCCGCUCGCUUUUUUGAAAUUCGUGCGCGGAACAGAUCGGUUGUUAGGAAUCGAGCGAUAAGACUUCUCGUUUUGACCUCUCGAUGCGGGAAUAUGGAAGCGCUAAUGAGUGUCAAGAGGUUGGCCAAGUCGAAAAUAGAAUCUGACGUGCUCCGUAAGAAUUUUUUUUAAUAUCGUCUCGACGGAUCGUCAACGACGUUGCGAUCCGAGCCAUUUCGAUCGUUUCAAUCGUUCCACUUUGCUAUAAAGUUUUUAACGAUAAGAUAAGUUCACAAGAAUAGAAGAUAAUUUCACGAUCACUUAGAUUUCGAUAAUAUAAAAAAAAAAAAAAAAUUAACGAUAUUAAUGUAUUAGAAUUAGAAAGAAAGAGGAGAUCGAUUUGACUGUAAAACUUUUUAUUACGAUCUUCUUUCGAAAUUGGAGCUAUUUGCAAGUGAAUACAAUUCUGUUUAGUAUUGAGAAAAUAUGCGUAUGAAGAUUCGAGUAUUUAGUAUAUUUAACCCUCGGAUGGCAGACCAUAGACGGCGAUGACUAAGUCAUUUCUAGCCGCCUCCUACAUUUAUCAUUUACUUUAUUAAAUUAUGCAUAUUCGAAGAAAAUUAUAGAAUCAUUUAAAAGUUACAUAUGCGAAAACAAUUACAAAAAUACGAGAUAUACAUAUAGAAUAUCGAUAAUCUAAUUUUUAAUAUAAUUCUAUUUCCAAGAUGGAUUUUUCUUUUUCAUUCAAAGCUCUCUUCUUGAACGAUCUAAUUCAACCGAGGGUUAAUUAUCACGUAAUUCGAACGGAAAGAAAUAUAAUUUCAUAUUAUACGUACAUCUGUACCGAAUGAUUGCUCGACGUUUAUGUAUGUACGCGUUUCGCAGCGAAAGGAUUAAAAAAAUCGACGUGGCUCGAUCGCGAGAGAGAAAGACUUGAUCACCGGUUCGGCGUGUUUCAAAAACUGCCAUCGAAUUUCGAGGAAAGUAACCGGGGUCCGCUCGCACGUGUUUACGCGUGCGCCAGCACACGGUACCAAUAUCCACGCGAGUCACCGCUUUAUUUUCCACCGUUACAUCACUGUCGUCAGCGUUUCACUGCCGCUUCACGAUAGUGCGCGCAGUUUAUCGAGCCUCGAGAAAACAAUGAUCCAUCGUGUCCAUCGUGAUUUGCCUUUCCGGUACCGUUCCUCUUCGUCAACCGUAACGUUCCCCACCUUCAUGCUUCGAUUUUCUUCCUUUCUUCAAUUUUAAAAUAAUAUAUUCUGGAAUAUAAAUCCAGGAUGGAUUUUAAAUUUCAAUCAACAAAACGCGUCGAGUUGCUCUUUUUCGGAAUUUAUCUUAAGCGAUUAAUCGAUCAAGAUGGAAUUCCUUCUUUCAGAAUUUGUAAAAAACGAUAACACACUUUUAGAAUUUGUAGAAACGAUAACACGCUUUGUGAAAGUGAACAUUUUAAACGCACGAGGAAUUUUCAAUUUUUUCAUUAAUAAGUCACGUCGAAUCGGUCUUCAGGAAUUUAACUGGGACGAUUAAAUCGACGAAUAGGAAAUUCUUAGAGGUAUUCGAUAAUUAAACGAAGAAUUUCGCGCUCUUGAAAUGCCAAAGUAUGCAAGAACGAACGCGAGGAUCGCGAGGCACUCGACACAUAACUAGCAAACUCCGUGCACUUCAUUCUUGCGCAGCACGUGUUGAUCGUAAACAGUGACUUGCGUCAGCAUACGCGUCCCGCGGAAACUUGUUUUGUCAAUGGGCUGAUGGAUCGCGUGAAAACUAAUGUCGUCGAAGCUAAGGACGGACGAGGAAUAAUCUGAACAAUCAAUAAACAAACCGAGUCACGUUUCCACGAAUUAGACCGAAUAGUCGAGACAAAGAAAUCUACGUCUUUACCUAUUUUUCCAGCCACUUUUCGCUAUUAUCCCACGAUAUGGACGAAUGUCGUGAUAAAUUUUCAUGCGACACUGUGACAUAAUGAAUCUCAUCUUCGUACUGAAGAGACUGAAUUUCACUCGAGCUCACGAAUCGCUGACAUCAUUCCGUUCGUAUUGCGUUUUUAUCAUUUGAAUAUUAUAUACACUUUAUCACACAACGUUUGAAAAUGUUAUGUUCGAUUAUUUAUUUAUUUAGUCUCACCAUUUUGAUUAUAUCACAAUAUCUAUUACUGUAUUCACUGUAUUACUCGUUAUUCUCGUAAUUUUCGCCAUAUUUUGGAAAUAUUACAAUCAACUGGCACUCGUCUCCUUGACUGGAAGGAAUAAAACGACUAACUGGCCGCUCGUUAUCGCGUUGGCGCACUUAACAAGCAGUCGAUAAUAUUUUCCAUACGAUAUUCGUUUCUAUAGUUAGCAACGGGCGAGUAGAUUUUGAUGAAAGUGUAAGAUUAAAGCUAUGUAACACGCAAUGUGAUGGCUGCUCGAGGCUUAAAGACCGGCGAACACGUAAUCGAAAGAGAGGCAGAAGAAGACUGAAGAAAAAGGCGAGUUCGGGACUCACCUUUUUCGCGCGUCGUGAGCGUAGUUUCUUAUCGUGUGCUGCCUGUAAACAUUGCUUACAUCAUCGUGAUUGUCGAUGUUGUCGUCUGUACGCGGGCCACGUUGAUUUCGAACUGGUACCACAGGGCCAACCAGUAUUGUGUGCGAACCUGGCUUCCGGUUUCGGUCAUGACACGUCGCAAUUUCGAAACGGUACUCUUUUCAAAAAGAAGAGAAUCGUUAGAGUGGGAGUUGGAGUUGGUUAAAGUCUUUAAAUGUUUGAUGUGGAAUGGAAAUAAUUUUUGUAUUAAAUUAUUUUAUAUAAUUUCUUGAAAAUUCAGUAAAAAAUCAUUCAGAACUCUCUGAAAUCCAAGUAGCAGGUAUUAUAUGCAUAUGGAAAUUUAUCUUAAACUAUUGGUUCAAAGAUCUUAUGUUAAGUUGAGUAUUUACUCUUUUCAUUGGUGAUCAUUUUCAAUCAAUUGAUUAGACAAUGUACAAAUUCGAAGAUUGAAAAGAAACUAUGUUGUUCAAUUUACAGAGAGAAAAAGAUCAGAAGACUGCCCACGUGUAAUCUAAGAUUCGCUUCCCUUUAUCAUUAAUCAGCAUUUUCAUUAGAACUUAUUAUUUCGGCUAUGAUCCGUAAUUCCUUAACAAUGUAACUUAUGGCAUCCGACAGACUGAUUAGAAUCUCCCUGUCUGUAAUUUCUCCAUAAGGCAGCUGCCAUUUAUCUCAACUGCCAAUAACGACAAUUACUCGCCAUUUGCAAAAUCUUUGGUUGUUUGCUUUUGAGAUUCUUCAUCAAGAAAAAAUUCUUGAAUGACUGGUGCAAGGUCCAAGAAAAAUGAACUUUGAUUUCGAUAUAAGUUUUAAACUUGAUGAUUCAUUGUUUUUUUAUUUUUGAUUUUUUGUCUAAUAUUCUUUUAAUGAAUUUUUUUCUAUUAUGUGUUUUAAUAGAAAAAUGAGAAUGGAAUAAAUUAUA